rnacentral:rRNA from 1 species
GUGGGGAAUAUUGGACAAUGGGCGAAAGCCUGAUCCAGCCAUGCCGCGUGUGUGAAGAAGGUCUUCGGAUUGUAAAGCACUUUAAGUUGGGUGGAAGGGCAGUAAGUUAAUACCUUGCUGUUUUGACGUUACCGACAGAAUAAGCACCGGCUAACUUCGUGCCAGCAGCCGCGGUAAUACGAAGGGUGCAAGCGUUAAUCGGAAUUACUGGGCGUAAAGCGCGCGUAGGUGGUUUUGUAAGUUGGAGGUGAAAUCCCCGGGCUAAACCUGGGAACUGCCUCCAAAACUGCAUGACUAGAGUACGGUAGAGGGUAGUGGAAUUUCCUGUGUAGCGGUGAAAUGCGUAGAUAUAGGAAGGAACACCAGUGGCGAAGGCGACUACCUGGACUGAUACUGACACUGAGGUGCGAAAGCGUGGGGAGCAAACAGGAUUAGAUACCCGUGUAGUCC